rnacentral:rRNA from 1 species
AUUGAACGCUGGCGGCAGGCCUAACACAUGCAAGUCGAGCGAGCGGCGGACGGGUGAGUAAUGUCUGGGAAACUGCCUGAUGGGGGGGGAUAACUACUGGAGACGGUAGCUAAUACCGCGUACCAUCAGAUGUGCGCAGAUGGGAUUAGCUAGUUGGUGGGGUAAUGUCUCACCUAGGCGACGAUCCCUAGCUGGUCUGAGAGGAUGACCAGCCACACUGGAACUGAGACACGGUCCAGACUCCUACGGGAGGCAGCAGUGGGGAAUAUUGCACAAUGGGCGCAAGCCUGAUACAGCCAUGCCGCGUGUAUGAAGAAGGCCUUCGGGUUGUAAAGUACUUUCAGCGAGGAGGCGUUACCCGCAGAAGAAGCACCGGCUAACUCCGUGCCAGCAGCCGCGGUAAUAC